ensembl:misc_RNA Metazoa_SRP Metazoan signal recognition particle RNA
GCUGGGUGUGGUGACGCACGCCUGUAGUUCUAGCUACUUGUGGGCCUGAGGCAGGAGGAUCACUUGAGCCUGGGAGAUUGAGGCUGCAGUCAGCCAUAUUUGUGCCACUGCACUCCAGCCUGGGCUACAGAGUAAGACCCUGCCUCAA